CCCAGACUCCUACGGGAGGCAGCAGUGGGGGAUAUUGCACAAUGGGGGGAACCCUGAUGCAGCGACGCCGCGUGGGUGAAGGAGCGUUUCGGCGCGUAAAGCCCUCUCGGCAGGGAAGAAGGAGGACGGUACCUGACUAAGAAGCCCCGGAUAACUACGUGCCAGCAGCCGCGGUAAUACGUAGGGGGCAAGCGUUAUCCGGAUUUACUGGGUGUAAAGGGGGCGCAGACGGCAGCGCAAGCCAGGAGUGAAAGCCCGGGGCCCAACCCCGGGACUGCUCUUGGAACUGCGCGGCUGGAGUGCAGGAGGGGCAGGCGGAAUUCCUGGUGUAGCGGUGAAAUGCGUAGAUAUCAGGAGGAACACCGGUGGCGAAGGCGGCCUGCUGGACUGCGACUGACGUUGAGGCCCGAAAGCGUGGGGAGCAAACAGGAUUAGAUACCCCAGUACG
rnacentral:rRNA from 1 species